rnacentral:rRNA from 1 species
UACGUAGGGUGCGAGCGUUAAUCGGAUUUACUGGGCGUAAAGCGUGUGCAGGCGGCCCGUUAAGACAGGUGUGAAAUCCCUGGGCUCAACCUAGGAAUUGCGCUUGUGACUGGCGGGCUCGAGUACGGUAGAGGGGGGUGGAAUUCCUGGUGUAGCAGUGAAAUGCGUAGAGAUCAGGAGGAACACCGAUGGCGAAGGCAGCCCCCUGGGCCUGUACUGACGCUCAUGCACGAAAGCGUGGGGAGCAAACAGG